rnacentral:rRNA from 1 species
CAGUCGCCGCGGGAAUACGGAGGAUCCAAGCGUUAUCCGGAAUCAUUGGGUUUAAAGGGUCCGUAGGCGGUCUUGUAAGUCAGUGGUGAAAGCCCAUCGCUCAACGGUGGAACGGCCAUUGAUACUGCAGGACUUGAAUUAUUGGGAAGUAACUAGAAUAUGUAGUGUAGCGGUGAAAUGCUUAGAGAUUACAUGGAAUACCAAUUGCGAAGGCAGGUUACUACCAAUUGAUUGACGCUGAUGGACGAAAGCGUGGGUAGCGAAAAGGAUUAGAUACCCCAGUAGUCCCUGUCUCUUAUAC